rnacentral:rRNA from 1 species
UACGUAGGGUGCGAGCGUUGUCCGGAAUUACUGGGCGUACAGAGUUCGUAGGCGGUUUGUCGCGUCGUUCGUGAAAACUUGGGGCUUAACUCCAAGCGUGCGGGCGAUACGGGCAGACUUGAGUACUACAGGGGAGACUGGAAUUCCUGGUGUAGCGGUGAAAUGCGCAGAUAUCAGGAGGAACACCGGUGGCGAAGGCGGGUCUCUGGGUAGUAACUGACGCUGAGGAACGAAAGCGUGGGUAGCGAACAGG